CCCCUCUCAGGGGGACACCUGGAGAGUUCCCAGUACUCUACCAGUCUCGACUACAGGAGGGAGAGUCAGGCAGAGGCAAAUCCAUUCCAUUCUUAGCUUGGGCAGUGGCUAGCAAGUGGAAGGCAAUCUGCGACAAGU
rnacentral:snoRNA from 1 species